rnacentral:misc_RNA from 1 species
GAUGAGAACGUAGCGAAAUGCGAUAAGUAAUGUGAAUUGCAGAAUUCAGUGAAUCAUCGAAUCUUUGAACGCAUCUUGCGCUCCUUGGUAUUCCGAGGAGCAUGCCUGUUUGAGUGUCAUUGCUGCCCUCAAGCACGGCUUGUGUGUUGGGCCUCCGUCCUCCUCCCGGGGGACGGGCCCGAAAGGCAGCGGCGGCACCGCGUCCGGUCCUCGAGCGUAUGGGGCUUCGUCACCCGCUCUUGUAGGCCCGGCCGGCGCUUGCCGACACAUCAAUCUUUUUUCCAGGUUGACCUCGGAUCAGGUAGGGUUACCCGCUGAACUUAAGCAUAUCAAUAAGCGGAGGA